UCAAAAUGGAUACCUUGGGAAGUUAUUCUGCUUUAGUUUGUCCUAAUAUCAGAGGGGAGCAUAGGGCUCUGCCCAAUGAUAUACAGGCCCUUUCUACAACAUUGAAAAUGAAACUGGGUUCUGAGUCUGUGCUAUUCCUAUGGUUUUUCAGGAGACUGUGAGCAAUAACUAAGGAGAUAAGCUAUGCAGGAAACGUUC